UAGGGAAUAUUAGUAAUGGGCGAAAGCCUGAACUAGCAACGCCGCGUGUGCGAAGAAGGCCUUCGGGUUGUAAAGCACUUUUUGAGAGGAUGAGGAAGGACGGUACUCUCAGAAUAAGUCUCGGCUAACUACGUGCCAGCAGCCGCGGUAACACGUAGGAGGCGAACGUUAUCCGGAUUUACUGGGCGUAAAGCGCGUGUAGGUGGUUUGGUAAGUAGGGCGUGAAAGCUCCUGGCUCAACUGGGAGAGGCCGUUCUAAACUGCCGA
rnacentral:rRNA from 1 species